UGGUCAACAUUAUAAAUAUAUUUAGUAUUCCAUUUAGUUCAUAUGUAUGGUAUACAUCAUUGAUUUUAAUAAUGACUUCCAAGUGAGAAUACAUUCUAGACGUGAAAUGUUUUUUGAGGAAAACGUGUUGAUUGGGCACAUUGAACUGACCGGCUACGCUUAAAAUGUAUAAAUUAUCGAAUUCAGUUUUCCGAUAGGAACGAUGAAGUGUGAGCAACGAGUCUCCGCUAACACCCUCCUCCCUUUGGUCCGACCCCGUCGAAACAGCACGUUUCUUGGGCCUACCGUUAGAUGACAUCGACGACAACACAAAUGACAUUUACCAUCCCAACGGGGAUUGAAUUUCCGUUAAAACAACAACAACAACAACA